rnacentral:lncRNA from 1 species
GCUGCUAUUCAAAAUAGAGAAAGAAUGAUCUUUGUGUUUAAUUUACCCCUUAGACCAAAAAUGAAUAAAGACAUCUGAAUUAUGAGAGUCUAACACAAUAUUUUGAGUGAAAUUGGAAAAUGUUUUAUUUUAUUUUUAUAUGGAAAUUACAUGUUCAGAAACUAAAUAAAAGUGUUUAUUAUCUAUAAUCCUUUAGACUUGACAUGUUUUAUUCUAUACACACUUGAUUGUUACACUUGUCUUAAAUAUCCCCUAUAUAUACUUGACUAUUUACUACUCUCUCCAUUUCACAAACAAUGGUCUAGUUUGACUUGACACGACGUUUAAGAAAAUAAAGAAGACUUUUGAAUCUGUGGUCCUACAUUAAAGUUAUGUUAAAUGUACAAAAUUGUCCUUUAAUCUUGUGGUCUUAAAUAUGUCAGGUGGAAAACUGAAAUUAAAAUGUUACCAAAAAUAGAAAAAGGUCAUUCUUUUUUAAACUGACUAAAAAAAAAGGAGGUCAUUUGUGAAACGGAGGGAGUAUCAUUUAUCUCUUGAACAUUGAUGUGGAAAAGAGUGAAUACACUCUUCUAGGUGCUUGAGUGAAAAGAAAAAUAGAGGGCAUAAUUUUAACCCCAAUUUAUGUUUUUUUAUUUAUUCUUUAGCUGUAAUGACUAUUUAUUUUAAUUAUCUUUUUUUUUCUUUUGGUGAGAGUGUUUAGUUGUCGGUGUAGAUCAAAUAUUAAGAAUAUGGCAUCUAGACAACUAUUAAACGGGGAAUGAAUUUACCCAAUGGAUUUUAUGUUUUAAGAGAAUAAGAGCCAUGUGGAUGUUACUUGAGUUUAACACUGUUACUUUUAAACGGAUUUUAUUAAGGAGAUUAAAAGUACUCCACUUUAGCAAAAUGAAGGGAUUAAAAAUAUUCAUAUUAUAUAUAUUUGAAGACCAAAAUGAACCUAUUCCUAUAGAUAUGGUAUAGUUUUAGCCCAAAUCCAAUAUAUGAAACCUUAAUCAUCAUUCAAGAAGAUAGUAGUAUAGAAUGAACUCCUUCGAUAAGUAUUCAUUUUGUCCCACUACAUAAAACCUAGGAUGAGAUUCAUAUUUUUGUAGGUAAAUAUUUUGAUGAUCAAAUUUUAAAUUGAGCUUCUUAGUUAAAAUAAUGAGGCAAGCUUUGAAAAAAAAGACAACGAUAUUAUAAUUUUAAUAGAAAAGAGACUAAAUUAUCCUUAAACUAUCAGAAAUAGCUCCAUUUUAUCCUUCAUUUGCUUUUGGUAUACCAAAAAUACCCUUGCUAUCUAUUUUUUGGACCAAAAUAUGCCUCCAAGCUAAUGUUGUCCACAUGAGCAUGUUAGGGCCAUUUAAAUAAUAGAAAAACCUGACAUGACAAUUCAAUAUGACAAAAUAGGGUUAAAUUGCCUUUGAAGAAAUUGCUUAUUUAAUUUUUACAUUUAUAUGACAUUGGGUUUCAUCGUAUCAAUGAGUGAUUCUUACCUAAUCUAUUUUUUUAAACUCGAACUUAACUUGAUUGUUUAAAAGUGUAUGUUACAUUAAAUCCAUCAGAAAAUAGAUGGCAUGGCGUUUUGGUUGUCAGAAGCAAAUAAAGGAUUAAUUGAGUGUUACUUGUUAGUUUAAGGACAAUUUUAGCCCUUUUUCAUAGUAACAAUAUGAAAACUCAAUAUUGUAUAACAUAUAUUAAUUUGAGUUUAUGGAAUUAAUAACUUAUUUCAUUUAAAUACAAAUACCAUAAUUCUAGGACAAGUAACCAUAGAAAGUAGAAAAAAGGGGCAAAUAUAUAUCUUCACUAUGUGAUCUGGAGUGAAUAUACCUUUUGUUAAAAAAAUAAAAUGAUGCAUAUAUAACAUGAACGUUUAACAAAUAAUGCAUAUUUAUUAUUUUCAUUAACAAUUAAAUUUUAAAAAAUUUGAAGUUAGUUUUUUAAUUUCUAAACACUCACAUGGUUUUUAAAAAAAUUACUCACUCAAUUUUUACCCCUCUAGACCUAAUCCAACUAAAGAACCUCAUCCCUCUUUAUUCAGACCUGACUCAAACUCAUCUUAUGUUUGAGUAGAAGAUGGAUUGGGUUUUUAUUCAUUUGGGUUGGGUCUAGAGGGGAAAAAAAUGAGUGGGGUAAUUUUUUAAAGCCACGUGAUAUUUUUGAAUUUUAAAAAUCAAUUUUAUAAUUAUUUUUUUAAUUCAAUAAAUACAGACCUGUUAAUGGAAAUGGUAUAUAUGCACCAUUUGUUAGACGACAGAGUAUAUAUAUCAUUUUUUUUAACAAAGGAUAUAUCAGUUUCAAAUCGCAAAGUUGAGGGUAUUUACCCUUUUCCUUAGAAAGUAGCUUAAAUAAAAUGGUACCUCUGUUUCCUUCCAUAAAUAAUGCAGCGAACUCCCAUGAAGUUCAAGAUGAACAAGCUUUUCUGGUUUAAAAUUUUCUGGCAAUGACUUCCAAGGAUAGUGAUUCCAGACUAACCAACGCAAGUUAUUGGACAGGUACUCAAUAGAGUCAUCAUGGUCAUUCGAAGAGCGAAAUGGAGCAGAGAAUUCGAAAAUAUCAAAUAUGUGUAAUAUCCUAAGACUUUUCAUUUUUUUCAUUGCCUCAUUAUUAAAGCAUAGUUCUUCUUCAUUGCAACUAAACCAGAUUGCUUCCACUGUCAUGGUCCCCUGAUAAAAAGAUCAUGAGUCAACUAAUCAUAACUUCACAUGUUGCUUACAAGAAAUAUUUUGUGCAAAUAUUUAUAUUUUCUAAUAAUACUUUUUUUUUGAGAAGUUCUUUAGCAUCAAAUCAUAAAAAAUUCAAUGUAGUGAUAGAAUAAAUAUUGUAAUUGGAACAAUACAAAUAAUUGUCAUCUUUUAAUUUGUUUAUUUUUAAAUCAAUGAUUAAGUGAAUUCUUGGUUGAGGAUUGGUAUGUUAUGAUUUGACCCUUCUUACUUGUAUUUUUUUAUGUGAGGAUUUUUAUAGGGUAAAUAUGUGGGUGAUAUUAGCUUUAAAAACUAUUUACUUAUUGGUGUGUAUAACAUGCAAUCUUAAGAAAGAAACUGGAUAAAACAUAUUAAACACUAAUUCAUAGACGAUUAGCUAUGUUAGGCAAUUGAUGUUACUUUUGCUUCUUUUAUUAAAAAAUAAAUAAAUAAAUAAAUAAAGUAAAGAGCUAAAAUGACGUACCUGUAAGAAUAUGAAGCAAGAGGAACAAAUAAAUGGAAUUGAUUGGCUAUACGUCUUUGAAAUAUAAAAAUUAGAAAUUAAAUAUUAUUGCAUUGUUUAGCUUACUUACUGUAUAGUCUAUCAUCACUUUUUUGAAAUCUUCAACAUCCCAUAUUCUGCUACGGUUUUUCGGAAGCUUUUGCAUUUUCACCACAUAUCUACCCAUAUCUUCAAUCAAAUCAUGCAUUUCAAUCGUAUCAUCUUCAGAGAUGAACACAAGAGAUUUAUUAAUCAGAACAUUCAAUCCGUAUUCAGCUCCAAAGUCACAACUCUCAAGAAUUUGCAUGACUUCUUUUCUUUCAAUUCCACGUAAGAAACAUGCAAUAUCUAGAAAUAUCUCUUGCUCUUCAAGCUCCAACCCAUCAUAACUUAUUUUGAGUUUUUCAACAAUUUCUGAAUUAGAGUUUUUCUUUAUUUGCUCUACAGUUUUUCUCCACAAAGUUAGACACUUUUUAUGCAAUAAAGAACCCCACACCUUGAGGGCUAAAGGAAGGCCUUUAGCGUGAUUUACUACCUCCAAUGAGAACUUCUUAAAACUCUCAUCUGGAUCUUCUUUUUUAAAAGCAUGCUUAUUGAAUAAUUGCAUAGCUUCAUGAUCAGGUAGUGUAGACACUUCGUAUAUCGCAUCAUCCUUCUCUAUCAAAUGUUUGUUUCUAGUUGUCACAAUGACUCUACUGCCAUUACCAAACCAAUCAACAUCACCUGCUAAAUACUCCAAAUGCUCAAUGUGAUCUAUAUCAUCAAGCACAAUUAGCACCUUCAUAGAACAAAGUAUGCUCGGAAUCAUGCACUUCCCAUCAUACUUAUCAUUGACAUAAUCAUCUUUUUUUCUUAACAGUUUAGAGAGAAGGGUGUUUUGUAAAGAAUGCAAUUCAUUCUUUUUUGCAUUUUCUUUAACAUCUGCAAGAAAACAGGAAGCUUUAAAUUGAUAAGAUAUAGCAUCAAAAAUAGCUUUUGCUAUUGUUGUUUUACCGACUCCGCCUAUUCCCAGAUCCCUAAAAUCCGAACAUCGUUGUUUCCAUUUGAAGUUUGGAUUUUAGUUUCUCUAAGUGAUCGUUUAUUCCCACAACAUCUUGCAAAAAAGAUGAAGAAUAAGCAUUUGUGCAAAAUUUGGAAGAGAUGCAGCCUACGAUCUGUUGAAUAUUCUCUGAUUCAAUCCUACAUAAAGAAGAAGAUUGAUAGUUUAGGAGGACUUUUAUGUAUUCUCUCUAAUUGAAUUGAUAGAACUAUGCCUUCUUAACAAUAAAAAUGUAUAUACUCUACCAUCUAAAUAAUUAAUAAUCAAUGAAAUUAUAUUGUGUUUGAAUGGAAAUUAUUCCAUUUUUUCAUUAAAAGUAAUUAUGUGUAUUCAACUAACCCGUCACGGAUAUCAUAUCCUUUUAGAUUUGCGGCAACAGUUAGGGCAUUUCUCCAUCUUUGCACCUUCUGCAUCCCCUCAACAUCAUCCUUAUACUUUAAUUCAUGUUCGGCAAAUGCUGCUCCAAAGCUUUCACUUUGGUUUCGAAUAUGUGAUGGAUCCACAUCAUAGAAGAUUGGUAUGACUGUUUGUCCAUUUUCUUCAUCUUUGCAUUCCAUGAUCUUCACUAGUUCAUUCAAGCACCACUUAGAUGUAGCAUAAUUCUUUGAGAAAACAAUAAGUGCAACUUGAGACUCUUCGAUAGCUCUCAAGAGUUCUUUCGGAAUUGAAUCUCCAUGCUCUAGCCUUUUAUCAUCUUGAAAGGUGCUUAUUCCCCUAUUUUUCAAACCUUCAUACAAAUGACCCGUAAAUGUUUUUCGAGUGUCUUCACCUCUGAAGCUUAGAAACACAACGUACUUCCAUCGAGGACAAUACUUUGAAUUACUCGCAGAAGAAGAAGAAGAUGCCAUAGAUUCGAUUAAUUGUCUGAAAAGAAAAAUAUUUUUUAUGGAUGAGAUCUAUUGAUGAUAUUUUGGACAAAGUCCUUGUAUUGACAAUUCAGAUAAGGCGGUGGAGGAUAUGGCUGUUGUCCAUUCAUUUUACAAAUGUGGAAAUGCCCUGGAACCUGAUAUUUGUUGGGCUGGAUCUUCUAGAUUAAUUUAAUGUUGUUUUGGUAUUUUUUAUUUGGGCCGAAGUCCUUGUACUGAAUGUUGGUUUCAGAAAGUUAAAUAAAAAGGCCAGCAGGCCACAAAAAUUUGAUUAAAAAACAAAGGUCCGAAUUUGAAAAAUUAAAAAUGUCUCGAAAGUUAAAUUAAUAUGGAAUGGAGGGAGUAGUUUAUGAAUAUUUACUUUUACCCUCAAUAUUAUAAAAUCAUAAUUAAACGGGUGAUUUGAAAUGAAGCAAUAGUACUUUAAUGCUCACGCUUAAUUCAAUCAAUUUAAUAAGAGUUAAAUGACAUUCAUAUUCUCCUUCAUUUAUAGUCUAUAAAUGUUUUCUUUCCUUUCUUUUCCUCCUUAUUUUCUGGUUUAUUGUUUACAUAUUAAUAAUAAAAAAUACUUCCUCCGUCCCAUUUUAUAUGUCAUCCCUUUUUGUAAAUAGCUGGAUCACAAUACUUGUCGUUUUAUAAAAUUUAUGCAUGAAUUACCAUAUUUUGCCUAUUAUACCCUUGAUAGAUUAGUUAAUUAAUCUUGAAAAUAUACUCACUGUUUAUUAUAAAGUUGACUUAAGAAAACAUUAAAUAAGGAUAGAAGGGUAAAGUUACACCAUUUCUUAAUGCAAGUGCAAAGUAAAAAGGUGACAUAUAAAAUGGGACAGAGGGAGUAAUGAUUAUCAACAUAUCAUAUCAUUUUGCUCCAGUACUAUCAUAUCAUAUAAUAUAUCGUACUUAUUCUAAAAGUGAAAAGUUGAAUUACCAAAUUGACCAUUAAAAGUUAAACGGCCAUUAUAUCUUUCAAACAAUUAUAUUAUUCAAAAACUUUAAAUGCAAACAUAUAAAUACACAUGCAUUUUUUUUUACAAUAAAAGGAAAUAUUUGUAUUUUUUAAAAUAAAAAUAAUAAUUGCAUCUUUGUAUAAAACGUUGGUGGUUCAAAUUAAUUGUUACCCUCAAAUAACCCUCCCUUUUCUUUUUAAGAGAUGGAAAGUAUGUAAAAUUGUUUGAUGCUAAACUAGAAUAGUUGUCAUAUUUAAUUUUCACUACUCAUAAAUUUUGGCUAUAAUAUAAUCUUGUAAGAAAUCAUGACGAAGACCACUCCUUAUGGUAAACACAAUUAGUAGUAGUUGUAGAGUAUUGGACUCCCACUCCUUCUCAGUUACUUUCAUUAAAUAAAUAAUUCGGUAUUCAAGAAAUAUCAAAUGCUAAUUGGUAUUAAUGUCUCAUACCAAACUUAAAUUCGGAUACCAUAAUUCUAAACCGAAUACCCAAUUAUUAUGUGUUCAAUUGGAACAAAACAUAAUUUGAGGUUUAACAGAGGGCAAAACACUACCCCAACUUUAACUCUCAAAUAUCAGAAGCACAUGACUGGUAGUCGGUAGAUAACAACUCUUCCCAAGGUUCAACAACAUGGAGGAAACUACAAUAGCAACCUUCAAGGUUCAACCAACUGUCACUCAACAAGCUUCGAAAGUACAUGUUUGAUAUUAUAGAAGAAUGCCCUAGACAUAAGAUUUCGAGUAACUAUAGAGCCAGAUAACGAAAUACCAACAAGAAUAUGUCUAACAACAAAUUAGACCAUAAAGUCUAACGAUUUUCUACAGACGUGGAGAAGCACAUCUUUCAGUAGAACCAGUCUGGGAUCGAGCUACUUAUAGAAAUGUAAGAGUUGCACAAAUUUCUGGCCGGCAGAAAGCUGAGCAAUGUCAAACGAGGUGUUAUAGAAAGGAACAGUUAAAGCAUGGACAUAUGUUAUUAAUUGCUUCCUACCCGUUGUUGAACCAUUGUUUCAGCAUGAGAAAAGAGAAUGCAACAGAAUUCUCGCAUAACAAGUUUCUAUCUUACUUCAAUUAUUCGAACGUAUAACAUAGUCAUUCAACCAUUAAACUUAUGCAUCAUCGCCAAUGCCAAUGAACUAACCCUUGCAAAGUUGCAAGCAUACUAAAAUAGUACUGUAUCCAUUCCAAUUUUGUAGAGGAAGUGUCCAAAUAUUUGGAUUGAUUCUAUUUUGAUAAUACUUUCAGAACUUCAUGAACUAAAUAUUCAUCAACUACUCAAAAUUUUGAACUUUGAUCUGAUGGUUUCUGCAUUCAACUAACUUUUCAACCAGUAUUGUAAUAUUUUCUUUCACUAUUAUUCAUAUAGUAUAGAAUCAAAUUAACAUCUUAAACUCCGUUCAGUCUAAUGUAGUCAUAUAAAAAGAACGGAGUAAGUAUUUAUUAAGAGCCUCGGAUAUCUAAAGAGAUGAAUCCUAACUUCAAUAGUAAGGACAGAGCAGUGGUAGUGAGUCUCAUUAUUAUUUUAUACACAAAGCAAUGCCUGUUUUAAGGCUCUAAAUCUCCUACCACACCAAGGAAAAUCACAUCCCUCUACAUAGGUGUGGCUAUAAUUACAUCUGGUCGCAACUAUACAAAGUACAGAACAAAAAAAAUGCAAUCUUUGAGAAGCAAGUUACUAGAUGAACAUGCAUCUUCGAGAGCAAUACUUCAACACGAUAAAUCAUCUGUGGAUGAUAUCCGUUAUAAAAAACAAGAGCAUAUCAAAAUUUGAAUCGCGUUCCACAUGAAACAAUAAAAACCAUGUAUAGAGAACACCACAUCAUGGAUAAAAAUCAGUACUUAAACAACACAACACGAGCAUAGCAAACUUCGAAUUGCAUUCCACGAGAAACAAUAAAAAACCAUGAACAAGACCACAUCAAGGAUAAAAAUCAGUACUUAAACAACACAACACGAGCAUAGCAAACUUCGAAUUGCAUUCCACGAGAAACAAUAAAAAACCAUGAACAAGACCACAUCAAGGAUAAAAAUCAGUACUUAAACAACACAACACGAGCAUAGCAAACUUCGAAUUGCAUUCCACGAGAAACAAUAAAAAACCAUGAACAAGACCACAUCAAGGAUAAAAAUCAGUACUUUAUCGCAAAAAUGCACAUCUAACCACAAUGAAUAUAUGUCAAACAUUUAGUAUUAACUCUAAUGAUUCUCCAACAUAUACAAAAAUCGACUCUACUCAUAGAAAAGAAUUGCUUACUUACUACAAUUGCUUAUCUUCCACUAUCCUCAAUCGCAUUUCAAUCAAUCUGGCAUUGAAUUCCCCAUCACUAACCUUCAACAUCUCCGAUAAAGAUAGCGAAAACCCAUGCUCCACCAAAAGUCUAUGCCGAGGCUUAAUCUUCCUCUCCAAACUAAACGAAAAGUACUGAGGAAACCUCUUCAAUUCCCCUAUAUCCCCAUUCAUCUCCUUCAAAAAAUACUCAACUUUCGGCCUAAAAUUUUUCUCAAUACUAAAUGUCAACAACCCAGGUGACCUCAAAACCAUAUUAACCACAUCAUCGCGUUCGAAUCCCAAACUCAACAUGUAAUCAAUUUUAGGGUUCAAUGUUAACUCAACACUGGAAACAAGCAAAACAGUAGUUCGACAAGUAAUCCGAUUCUGACCCACAAACCCAAAUUCCUUCAAAAACUCAAAUGUGGGUUUCAAUUGAUCUUCAACACUACAAACAAGAAUUCUCGGACAUCGGAUAAUGGAUUUCCGAAUGUCGUGAAAAGGGAUAACGACGUCGUUUAACAAGAAAUCGAAAAUUGGGUAAAGGUGGAUAUAAGGAUCGAAGAUGGGGGUUUAAUUGAAGGACUUUUGUGGGAUUGAUAUUGAGUUCUUGAAGAUAGAGUAUUUUCUCCCGGAAUUUGAGACCACAGUCAGUUGAAGUAAGGGUUGGUGGGGUGGAGAGGUGAAGGGAUUUGAGUGAGGUUUUUGUGGGUUUUGGAGAAAUUGAACAAAUGGGUAUUGGAGAAGAGGGGUUUGGGGUGAUGGAAGAAAAGGGGAUUAGGGUUUUGGGAGGGUUUAUCCAUGUUAGCAUCUCAGGUAGAAGAAGUGACAUUGAAGAAGAAAGGACUCUGUUUGCAUGCUUUGUGUUGGAGUUUAUUGAGAAAGAUGAUGACUACUUCAUUAGAGUUUUUCUUUGAGUUUGUGUUUUGUUGGGUAAAAACUACUUCUAUAGCCUAUCUCCUUAUCCCUAUUGUAAUUGUAUAUACCAAUUUCUUAUUUUAUUUUGAGCUAAUUGCUAAAAUAAUCCAUAAUGUAUUUUGGUUACGAGUGUUAUAUCUGAACUAUUUUAUGUAUAAGUUUUCUAAGUGAACUGUUGAAUAUUUAUCGAAACACACUUUGAUUAUCAGUUAUUCACUUUUCCUACCUGAAUGGUAGUAAUAUUUCAAGUAGGAAAAGUGAACAACUGAUAGUUCAAGUAUGUAUCGAUAAAUAUUUGGUGAUAGACUGAUAGUUCAGAUUGAGAAGUUCACACGCAUGAUAGUUUAGAUAUGAAACUCAAAAACUAGGAUACACCUAUCCUUCGACCUUUUAUUUUUGAAAAAAAAAAUAUACUACUAUGUAAGAGCCCUUUCAACUUGCCACUUACACAAUUUAGCUUUUGAGAAAAUUAGUAUAAUUCACAAAAAAACUUUACGUAAUUUAGUUAAUAAUACCAUGAGGCCACAAUACCCUCCCAACCUCCAAAAAAUCAAACUCAAAAUUUUAUCCACAACUUUGGGAAAUCGCAAAUUAUAUGUGAACGUGAUCACUGUAGCAAACUGUCAAUUUACAAACAAAUUUUGUUGUGAUUCAUGAUGUCUCACCAAUUGAGGAUAAUAGAUCAUUACUAGAUCUACCUCUCCGACUGAAUAUGAUAAAGCCUAUAAAACAUAGAGCUAUGUUUAAGAGAAAUCAAUCAACAAAGUUUGAUGAAAUUUGAAUUUGUAUGAUUGUGAAUAAAAUUGAAUAUUAUUAUAUAUAAUGUAUAAAAACCACUUGUAAUUUUGUAUAAUAUUAUACAUCAAGUUUUUAAACAUUUUCUGUAAAUUAGAAAAUGGAGGUUUUGUAUAAUAUUGUAUACUAUAUGUAUAUUAUUGUAUAUUUGAUUACAUACAAAUUAUCAUCAAUGAAUUAAAAAAAAUUCCAAUAUCAAAUCCUUGAAGAUGGUAAAGCCCAACGUUCUUCUGUAGGAUACAUUCAAAAGGCUUGAAGAUGAGUGAGAUAUUUGAAUGAAAAAAAAGAUUGAUAGCCCAUUGUGAAUUAUGAAGAAGAAACAGAUACCUAGACAACACUUGACCAACGUGAGUAUUGGCAUGUAUAUGAAACAUAUACUCUUAUUUUAUGAAUGUAUUAGUAUAUAUUUGAUAUCAGAUACAUGUAUCUAGAUAGUUGUAUCUACUUUUCUCCUUAGAAGUAUGUAUUAUGCACAAAUACAGUGUAUACAUCAUUGUAUACUUGAUACUUAAUACUACAGGAUAGACGAUACAUGUAUCUAAAUAAAUGUCUUCUAUCUUGUUCAAUUUGAUAUUGUGAAAGACAAAUGCAUUGUAUAGUACUAGAAAUUGAUACAUGCAUGUAUGCUAUGAAACAUAUACAUGUAUGGUAUAAAAAGAAGAUACACAAGCAUGCUUAUGUAUCAAAUAUCCGGUCAAGAGACGAGAGAGGUGAGAGGGAAAAGGUGUCACGAACUGUAUCUCAGAUAUAACCUCUUAGCGAGUGACAUACAAUGUAUAUUUGAUUAAAAUAGGAGAGAGGCAAAAGAAAGAGGAGCCAUGAGAGAGAAAGAAAAGAGGAGAGACACGAUCUAUAGUUAUUUUAAGUAUCAUUGCAUAACGUAAUUCCAAAAUAUACUAUCGUAUUUUGUGAAAUUUCCCCUAUAUAUUCCUCUUGCGUGAAUAAGCUAAGGAAAACCAGGAGAUAUAAGACGAGCCCAAAGAUAUUGGGCCUCUAAUUUGGCUUGUGACAUAAUGUCUAGCCCAAUAUCUAUAUGUAAGUUUUAAGGAAAUUUACCAAGUGAGACAAAAUGUCUCCACAUUUCAAUUUUAAUACUUAUGAAAUAUAAAAGAAUAACUAAAAGUAUAAAUCAGAAAUGACAUAGGAAAAUAAAUUCAAUUGAAUUGAAUAGGACUAGAAAUUGAACAGUAGCUCUAUGAUAAAAUUAUCAUCCUAUGGCCAGUGGCGGAUCCAGAAAUUUUAUUUCAUGAGUGCUCAAUUAUUUUUAGUUUGAGAAUUGCUAUAUAAAGUGGGUGCUUAGUUAAUACAUUUGAAUGAAUUAUUAGAUAUUACAAACAAAUAUUAGUGUUAAUUGCAAAAAAGCAAUGGGUGCUUAAGCACCCAUAAUCCAUAACAUACAUCCGCCACUGCCUAUGGCUAUGGCAAUCUAAGAUAAUUGACUUAAUGAGUUCGAGUUUGAAUCAGAACUAUUGGGUUCAUAUAAACUUAAUGUACAUAUCUCCAUAAUUCAUCAUACUCUUUACCUACCUAAUUUAUUACUGAAUUGAUCAAAUAAUUAUUUCUAACCCACAACUAUCUAUAUUUGUUUAAUGAAUUUUUAAACACAUACACAAAGUUAGAAUAAAAGCAACUACAUUUCAUCCAAAUUGUAUGGAAAAAGAAAAUCGUGUCUACUAAUUGGCUGCAUCAAUAUGUAACACGUGAUUAAAUCAUGUGCUACUAGAUAGCUUUUUUAGUACUAAGCGUAUGGUUAUUUCACAUCGAAAGAUAAGAAUUAAGAUACAUGAAAUUUUUUGUUUUUACUUUUUAUUUCUUGCAGAAUUUUUCCUUCUCAUCUUUCACAUCACAAUAUUAUAUUAUUUAUAAUAUAUAAAUUUUUUAAAAAUAGAAUAAGAAGAGAAGUAGGACAAGUAAGAUGAGCGAUAAAUGCGGCGAAAACACAUGUGAAAAUGUCUAAAAAAUAUGACAUCCCCAAAGAUCCCCUAUAUCUCUAUUUUCUUGGCCCCAUUAAUUAGCUCCCAUACAAUGGAGUUUGAAAAGUCGGAGACUGAGUGUCCGUUUGAAUUGACUUAUUUUAGGUAUUUUUAAACAGUUUUGUAGUGUUGGAUAAAGUUAAAAAGUGUUUAUAAGUAUUUAUUUUAAAGCCAAAAGUCGUAAGUUAGAAAUCCUAACUUAUAGCUUUUGGCUUAUAAGUCAUAAGCCAAAAGUCAAUCCAAACAGGCCUUGCGUUAGUGUUUGAUUAUAGAAAUAAAUAUAUAUCUAUAGAAUUAUAUUAUAUUAUUAUUAAUAAAUCUCACUUAUUUCUCAGCCAGAGUUGCAAUUAAAUUAAUAUUUAAUGGGAUAUCGAGGGACGUCCAAACUAAUAUGGGGUGAAAGGUAAAUUUAUACAAGUUGAAAGAGUUUUGGAAUAAUAUGAGUAAACCUACGGAUGAAAUUCUUGGUCCUUAUUAGUUUUCUAUCGCAUAUAAAAAAAUAAAUUAAUAUAGAUGACAACGAGUUAGACAAAAAAUAAAAGAGAUCAAAUAUAAAAAUAAAGAGUAAGCUCGCCAUUCAUUUUAACGAAGGAGGAUGAAAAAAGUGUCAUCUAGCCAUUGAAAGGAUGUUCCUAAUCACCUAAUGUUGAAUUAUUAUUAUUAUGGAUUAAUGUUAUUAGUGAUAAUUGAGCAUUAAAACUUAAAAGAUGUGAUUUUAACUUGAGAGUUUUCUUAUUAAAUGUUCAAACACUUGUUUUUGGCUUUAUUUGUUAGAGAAGUGCUUUCAUGUUGGUCUUUUUAAUGUAAAAUACUUGUAAUAUGACCUCUUUUCCAAAAAUAAUUUUCCUUUUCGGGAAGUGCUAAUGGCCAGAAAAUUUGGCCAGAAUUUGAUCAGAAAAUUUAAAAAGUUAUAAUAUUUUUUUUAUUUUAAAAUAAACUGAUGUUUUUUUUCUAUUUUUAGUUAAAAGAUAUUAAAGUUAAAAGGAUAAAAAUGUUUAAAAAGGUAAAAUAGCAUAGAUAAAAUAUUAUUCUGACCAAAUUUUCUGGCCAAAAAGAUUUUCCCUUUCCAAUAUUAAUAUUCAUAUUUAAUCAUCCUUAACUACAUAUUAAUAAAUAAAAUAAAUUAAGAGAGUGUUAAUGGGAUAUUGAGUCACUAGGCUCAAAACACAAGAAGAGAAAAGAAGGGCAGAUGGAAGAAGGUGAGGGGUGUUUGACUAGUCAUUGUCAGCCUUUUCAGGGCAUCACGCAUACCCUCAAUUCUUCCCAAUUUUCAAAUUUGAAUACUCUGAUAAUAUUCAAUUGAAAAUAAAUAAAAUAGAUAUAAUAUGUUAACAUGACUUUUAAUUUUUUAAAAUUUACAGAUAUUUAAAUUUAUAUAAAAUUAAAUAAAUAAAUAAAUAACACACAUAUUUUAUAUGACGUUUUACAAAUUAGUUCAAAUGUAUCUUACCUGAAUUGUCAUAUAGAGCACCAAAGUUUUUCCGAAAUUUGAAUUAAUAGUGUCAAAUUGGAUCACUUUAUAGGAGUUGAUGCAUUCAAUUUUUCUCAAAAAAACAAACAUAAUUUUAUUGAUAAAUAAUAUGAAUACUUGCUUGAUUCUUCUCUUUUCAUUUUCUCAGUGAUUCAUGGACGGUUAAUAAUGUAUAUCUCAAACAUAGAAUGGUUGGACCUCUUUGAGAUUUAUUUAAUCUUCUUGAAAUAUUUAACUUUAGAGAAAAAUCAAGUUACGUCUUAAUUUUUCUAUAAAUAUUUCAUGAAAUUAUUAAAAUUUCAAUAAGAUAUGUUCAACUAAAACAAAAUUAAAUUCGAUUAUCUAAAUGAUUUUCAUAUAAGAAAUAAAAAUAGUGUCACGUACCAUUGACCAUAGGCAAUACCAUUAAUUUCUAGUUGAGAGCUAAUGUAGCUUUCAAGAAUAGGUAGAUACGCAUUUAUUGCUUUCGAAUUAUAUAAUAUAAACAUUUGUAUUUUUAUUUUUUUAUGAAUUGCUUUAAAUUAUAAUUUCUUUAAAAAAUACUAAUAAUUUAGAUAUCGUGUUGGUGUAUUAUACCACAAAUACAAUAAAUUAUAGUUGAAAUAAAAUGACAAAAAUGAAUAAACAAAUAUUUAGGUUGAGGCGCGAAUAUCUCACUCUCUUUAAGGAGAUUCAAGCUCACUGCGGCAUAAUCUACACCGAUCCAGCAGUAUCACUCUUGACUUGUUCCCUCCAGGAUACAACAACCCAACAACGUCGUACAACUCAAACAACUUCGAAUUAGUUGAAGAUUUCAAAGCUCCACUAGAGAACACCUUCUUCAACAUAUAAUUACUCUCUUGUUUGUAUAGUGAAUACAGUUGAAAACUUAGAAUAUUUUUUUAUGUCUCAACUCUUUCUUUCACUACACUAACCUCAAUAUAAACUUUUCACGUUUUCUUACACUAUUUCUCUUCCACUUUAUCAAUCCAAAGGAAGACCACUAUUUAUAUGUGAUGAAUUUUUCCUUGAAAUAGAUAAAAGAUAAUGGAUAGUAAAUUUGAUAAGUGAAUGACCUAUAAGUUACAUAGGUUACCAGAAUAAAGAGGUAGAAUAAUGGGUGAAAUUAAUGGUAAAUCAUGGCAAUAAUGGGUUACAAGAGUUAAACCAAAGUAAUGAUUACAUUCUUGCCAACUUAUACCCACUAAUAAAUGCACUUAAUAUUUUUUUUUUAAUGUUUAAAUGCAGAAACACCAACGUAUCGUACCCAGUCAAACACAAUUCCAAAAAAGUAUAAAAAAAAGAUUAGGUAGAUGUCCCCACGUGCGUUAGUAAUUUAGUGUCAAAGAGACAGAAGCAGACCCAAACGGUUCGUCUGGUUACGUGUUGGACAUAUAUAAGACAGUACUACUACACCUUUGUUUAAAGCUGAUUAUUCAUUGCCCCCUUUUCGUUUUCGUAUUGAUGUUCGAUAAAAUUUGAAUUUACGAAUAUUUAUUUUUGAUGUUAAUAGUUUUAAUAGAAUUUUUUUUUUUUUUUUAUUAAAGAUGAAAAGAUGAUGAACGCUCCCUAACAACUAGUAGUAGAUAAGAUUCUUCUAUGUGAUGUUGUGACAAGUGGCAUGUAUUGGGAUGGAGAGUAUUAUUAUAUAUGAGUUCAAUUGAAAUAUGUGUUGUGGAGUCAUGAAUAGGAGGGUUAAGUGAAAAAAAACUUAUGAUCCAACUUAAAUUUGAACUUAUUAGAUAUUUAACGAUCAACUAUAUUAUUAAAAAGAUUAUCAAAAGGGAAAUGACAUCGGGUGAGAAGACAAUUGAAGACCGAUCAUGUUAUUCCAAUUAAAUAUGAAAAGGAUUUGAAAAGGAAAGCAAAAUAAUAGUUAUAUGAUCAACGAAUAAAUAAAUUGUGAUCACAUAACAACACAAAGACUACUUAGGAUAAGAAAAUCCCUCAUAGUAAAACAUAGAAGAGCUAUUGGAUAUAUAAGUAUUCAUGCUUAUAUAUUAGUGAAACAUUUUUAAAUAGUACAAAUUUAUGUUCAAAACAAACAAUAUCACUAGCGAAUUAAAUUGUUAAUUGUUACAGACAGAUGUGAAGCCAAUUGAGAAUGAAUACAACCAUAUUUUAAGGGGUGAAAAAAUAGAGAGGAAGAAGUGAAUCCAAAGAUAAAUUCUAUGGAUCAUACAAUUAAAAUAAUGUAAUUAAUAUGUCAGAGUUGUUAGUGAGCAUUACAUCAGCUAACUCAGAACUGAAAAUAUUGUCCUUUUUCCCACUGCAAAAAUAAUUUUUCCUAUCUGCACAUAGAUUUUCCAUAUCUCUAUUUUAACAAUACUCCAUAUUCUAUAUAUCUUGCAAAAUGGUUACUAUUUUUUUUUACAUAAACAUAAGUAGCAUAACCUGACAAUGUAAAACAUAUUUAUGUUAUGAGUAUAAUUUCACGAGUUAUGGUAGUUUAAGUGUCAUAUUUAUCGAUUACUAAUACUCCACCUGACUCAAUUUAUGUGAUGUUAAUUGUUUUGACACAAAAUUUAAGAGAGAAAAACUUUUGAUUCAAAACAAGUUAUAAAUAUUUAUGUGGCUAAAAAUUAUAUCCCAUUAAGAUAAAAUGAACAUUUUAAAGUUAGAAUACUACUUACGAUAGAAAUUGUCUUUGCAGUGAUCUAAUUAUAUAAAUAUCAUUUAUAUUGUUAGUGCAAUUGAGGUUUCAAAUCCAAUUUUAAAAUUUACAAGCAUCUUUCUUAUCAUAUCAAAUAAUAAUGAUAUGUGGUGUCCUAAGGUUUUGGAUUAAGUUUCCCAAUGAGUGCAAUCCUUAUGUUUAGUUGUCCUCGUUGAGCUUAGAACUCUGAACAAAUUGUCCGUAAUUAGUCAGAGAAAGGAUCAGGAAAAGGUCAAGUCAUCAUUCCCCGGACCUAUCUCAAUGAGAAUAAAAGGGUGUUGUGGAUGAUUUUUCUUCACCAUUUAUGAUUUCCCUCUUGAAUUUGCGUUAGCUAGUUAAAAGUGAUUUACUAGGGAGAGGAAUUAGACUAUCUCCUCAUGAGUUAAAAGAUAUAUUUCGAAGAUAUUAUUCAUAUAUUGUAUUUAUGAUAAUGAAUAUACCAUAUUAAUUCGAGGUUUGGAAUGACCUGGUGCUAAAGGAAACGUUUCAUUUGCCAUAACAAAAAUAAUUAUUACCAUUACUACAAAUUUAGAGAGACAAAAAAUAUCGCCUUAAUCGGCAAGGAAAAUGAACUUUGCUCCUCUGUGCUUUGAGUUAAUUUCUUGAGUUUUCACACCCAAUUAGUUUUAACUGAAUACCAAGGCUAAUGGAUCAAUUUGAAGUCCAUUACAUAUUUUGUAUAUUAGAUCAACCAAAGACAUUAGACUGUAAUUUUUCGAGUAAAGAAUUCACUCCCUUAAAGCCCACAACUCAAGAGAUCGUGAUAUAUUAAGAGAAACUUUCACAUAUAGCCAAUCAAAAAUAGCCUAAUUACUCUCCAUGACUGUAGUUUGAUAAUUACAAUUCGUUGCUACAUGUCAUGGGGAGGAGAGAGGCGAGCGAGACUGGGAGAGAGAGGACUAAGAGUUGGAGAGAGGUGAAUUGUAUAAGUAUAUCGGUUAGAUAAUUGUAUAUUAUACAUAUGUAUUUGUAUAUAUGGCAAGCGAGAUUGGGAGAGGGAGGAGAGAGGCAAGCGAGAGAGGGCAGAGAGUGGGAGAGAGGUGAAUUAUAUAUGUAUAUCAGUUAGAUAAUUGUAUAUUAUACAUACGCAUUUGUAUAUAUGGCAAGCAAGAUUGAGGGCAGAGAGUGGGAGAGAGGUGAAUGUAUAUGUAUAUCAGAUAGAUAAUUGUAUAUUAUACAUAUGUAUUUGUAUAUUCUAGCGAAUUAUACAUAUACAAACGUGGCUAAUUAUACAAACUCGAAGUCAGCCCACGUAAUUAAUGUAUAAUGUUAGUCGCGAGUGGUAAUUAUAGCAUACUAUAGCUAUGAUGAGUAAUUAAGUAGUAUAAAUUUGCUUAACCGCAUAAUUUUCCCAUAUAUUAACUACAUAUAUUACAGACACCAAUCUUUUAGCUUUAACUACUUCAUUUUCUAGCAGUAAGCCCACCUUCUUGGGCCUUAAAAGCCCAAGAGUCCAGCAACGUUGAUACUUCUUCAAAAGGCCCAUAAAUCUAAGGAAGGCCAGCUAUUUAUCAUACUUUAUAGGGAAAUUAUAUGAAAUAACAAAUUAUUAAUUCGAAAUAAAUGUUAUAACUACAGUUUUAUUUAAUUCUAAUUCGUAGCAAACACUUUGCCAUUAGCCUCUCUCCCCAGAAAUCUCGCUCGCCACUCUCCCUCGCCUCUCUCAUUUUAUACAAUACAAAUGUAUAAAUUGUGUUUGUUUUUGUAUAAAGCGAGAGAAAAUUGUAUAUAUACAAAUGCAAAUACAUAUAUUUUCGUCCUAUACACUUAUAAUUAUAUAAAUACAAAUAUUUCCCUACCAAUUCUUUUUUGCCUUUCUCUCUUUCUUGCUUUAUACAAACACAAUACAAUUACAAUGUAUAAUUUGUGUUGUAUAAAGCGAGAGAUAUUUGAUAUACAAAUGUUUUAUUUCGAUUCAAUUGCAUACAAAUUUAAAUUUUAUGCAGAUAUACAAACACAAUAAUUGAUACAUAUACAUAGUAGUUACAUAUAUACAAUUAUUUAAUUGAUAUACAUAUAUACGCUUUUAUACAAACGGCAUAUAGUUUGCUAGGAAACACAAAUAACAAAACUGUAGCUAUAGAGCGCUAAUAUGAUUUUUAAACCUAAAAUUUACUCAAAUGAACACCCAAUUAAGGUAUUUGGAUGGUCAGCUAGAAACAGUUCCGAGGCUUCUUUCAUCCACCCGUUUUCGCGAAAUCAUCGAUAUUGUCAAAGUACCAUCUUCUGUUUCGCAAACUAUUGCACACCCAAGAAACUAAAUAAAAGUAGUAUUAUUAUAAAUAAAAGGUAAAAUAACCAAAACCUCGUAAACUUGUCAAUUUGCUAAACUUUCAUUAUGUUUAUUCAAAUAAAAAAAAAUCACAAGGGAUCAUUUGUUCAUUUUCCCUUUUCACAACUUCCUAAAGCACAACAUUUGUUCGGUAACAAGGGAUUGACAAAAAUAUUUUUAAUUGGCUUAAGUCAAUUGGUUCCAACAAUGUGACAUUUGAAUUACAUUAAGUGGAAACCUAUGACAGGUACCCAGACACUGGAUGAAAAAACAAUGUAGUUGCUCGAUCUGAACUACUUAAUCCACGUGCUAGAUUGACCAUCCGCAGUGUAUGCACAAACUACUUCUACCAUGUAGAUUUGCAGUAGUUAAUCCACACUUCUUUUGGACAGUGAAACUAGGUAUUCUGGUCCAAAAGAGAUCAAUCAUGAGGGAGGACGAACCUCAACUUCACCUCAUACUCCAGCUUCCUCCACUGUCUCACACUUAUAGAUUAAUGCUUCAUCGUUUUUGCAAACUCCCUGCCAUAACAUGAGAGAUAUUUGUAUUUAGAACAAAAAUUUCCUCUUUUAUAAUAACCACAAAGAGCAUCAAAAUGAACUAUUAAUAACAGAAAGCAAAGCGAGAAGUUUAGAUACAUAUCGAGAUAUAUACCUCUACUUAUGACCUUUGUUUCUUAGAAGAGGAACAACUGGCUUCUUCAUGAUGUUCACUAUCGUCNNNNNNNNNNNNNNNNNNNNNNNNNNNNNNNNNNNNNNNNNNNNNNNNNNNNNNNNNNNNNNNNNNNNNNNNNNNNNNNNNNNNNNNNNNNNNNNNNNNNNNNNNNNNNNNNNNNNNNNNNNNNNNNNNNNNNNNNNNNNNNNNNNNNNNNNNNNNNNNNNNNNNNNNNNNNNNNNNNNNNNNNNNNNNNNNNNNNNNNNNNNNNNNNNNNNNNNNNNNNNNNNNNNNNNNNNNNNNNNNNNNNNNNNNNNNNNNNNNNNNNNNNNNNNNNNNNNNNNNNNNNNNNNNNNNNNNNNNNNNNNNNNNNNNNNNNNNNNNNNNNNNNNNNNNNNNNNNNNNNNNNNNNNNNNNNNNNNNNNNNNNNNNNNNNNNNNNNNNNNNNNNNNNNNNNNNNNNNNNNNNNNNNNNNNNNNNNNNNNNNNNNNNNNNNNNNNNNNNNNNNNNNNNNNNNNNNNNNNNNNNNNNNNNNNNNNNNNNNNNNNNNNNNNNNNNNNNNNNNNNNNNNNNNNNNNNNNNNNNNNNNNNNNNNNNNNNNNNNNNNNNNNNNNNNNNNNNNNNNNNNNNNNNNNNNNNNNNNNNNNNNNNNNNNNNNNNNNNNNNNNNNNNNNNNNNNNNNNNNNNNNNNNNNNNNNNNNNNNNNNNNNNNNNNNNNNNNNNNNNNNNNNNNNNNNNNNNNNNNNNNNNNNNNNNNNNNNNNNNNNNNNNNNNNNNNNNNNNNNNNNNNNNNNNNNNNNNNNNNNNNNNNNNNNNNNNNNNNNNNNNNNNNNNNNNNNNNNNNNNNNNNNNNNNNNNNNNNNNNNNNNNNNNNNNNNNNNNNNNNNNNNNNNNNNNNNNNNNNNNNNNNNNNNNNNNNNNNNNNNNNNNNNNNNNNNNNNNNNNNNNNNNNNNNNNNNNNNNNNNNNNNNNNNNNNNNNNNNNNNNNNNNNNNNNNNNNNNNNNNNNNNNNNNNNNNNNNNNNNNNNNNNNNNNNNNNNNNNNNAUAUACAAAUACAUAUAUUUUCGUCUUAUACACUUAUAAUUAUAUAAAUACAAAUAUUUCCCUACCAAUUCUUUUUUGCCUUUCUCUCUUUCUUGCUUUAUACAAACACAAUACAAUUACAAUGUAUAAUUUGUGUUGUAUAAAGCGAGAGAUAUUUGAUAUACAAAUGUUUUAUUUCGAUUCAAUUGCAUACAAAUUUAAAUUUUAUGCAGAUAUACAAACACAAUAAUUGAUACAUAUACAUAGUAGUUACAUAUAUACAAUUAUUUAAUUGAUAUACAUAUAUACGCUUUUAUACAAACGGCAUAUAGUUUGCUAGGAAACACAAAUAACAAAACUGUAGCUAUAGAGCGCUAAUAUGAUUUUUAAACCUAAAAUUUACUCAAAUGAACACCCAAUUAAGGUAUUUGGAUGGUCAGCUAGAAACAGUUCCGAGGCUUCUUUCAUCCACCCGUUUUCGCGAAAUCAUCGAUAUUGUCAAAGUACCAUCUUCUGUUUCGCAAACUAUUGCACACCCAAGAAACUAAAUAAAAGUAGUAUUAUUAUAAAUAAAAGGUAAAAUAACCAAAACCUCGUAAACUUGUCAAUUUGCUAAACUUUCAUUAUGUUUAUUCAAAUAAAAAAAAAUCACAAGGGAUCAUUUGUUCAUUUUCCCUUUUCACAACUUCCUAAAGCACAACAUUUGUUCGGUAACAAGGGAUUGACAAAAAUAUUUUUAAUUGGCUUAAGUCAAUUGGUUCCAACAAUGUGACAUUUGAAUUACAUUAAGUGGAAACCUAUGACAGGUACCCAGACACUGGAUGAAAAAACAAUGUAGUUGCUCGAUCUGAACUACUUAAUCCACGUGCUAGAUUGACCAUCCGCAGUGUAUGCACAAACUACUUCUACCAUGUAGAUUUGCAGUAGUUAAUCCACACUUCUUUUGGACAGUGAAACUAGGUAUUCUGGUCCAAAAGAGAUCAAUCAUGAGGGAGGACGAACCUCAACUUCACCUCAUACUCCAGCUUCCUCCACUGUCUCACACUUAUAGAUUAAUGCUUCAUCGUUUUUGCAAACUCCCUGCCAUAACAUGAGAGAUAUUUGUAUUUAGAACAAAAAUUUCCUCUAUUAUAAUAACCACAAAGAGCAUCAUAAUGAACUAUUAAUAACAGAAAGCAAAGCGAGAAGUUUAGAUACAUAUCGAGAUAUAUACCUCUACUUAUGACCUUUGUUUCUUAGAAGAGGAACAACUGGCUUCUUCAUGAUGUUCACUAUCGUCGUAUCUGAUCCUCCUUAUCCCCAUGGAAAGUUCUGUUGGUGGUUCAUCAUUGGUCUCAACAAGCUCAGAUUCAUAUUUAUAGAACAAACGAAGUCCACACUUCUUCAAUUCUUCAGGAAAAGAUAACAUAAUGUGCCCAUAGUCAUUUGGUGUUUUACCAUUUGCGUUAGAUGUAUCCCAUAUGCCAGCAAAAGGUACCAAGAAAAACUGAAUCACACAAUCUGGAAUACAUUCUGAAUAAUUGUAUAAGCCAAGUUUCUGGGUGAUACACGGCAUCCCUUCAGAACUAAUAAUCAAUUGAGCCAUGUUUUGAAUUAAACUUCCAGAGUAACAUACAGCAAAUCCCAAGAAGUUAUCUGAUACACACCAGUUUUCAGGCAAAUUGACUAAAACACUUUUAUCCAUUCCCUGAUAGUGGAACCAACUAGGGAUAUUACUCCCCCAACUCGUAAACACUCUUAACGACAAGGAAUCUGAAGCAGAGAUGUCAUGCUGGAAUGAUGAGAUAUUUUGAAAUAGUGAAUUACAGAUCAAAUCAUUGUGCCAAUCUGCACAUAUUGUAUCUAAUUGCGGUGGAAAUUCUGGCAACUGUGUAAGCCUCUUGCAACCUUCUAAGGAUAAGACUCGAAGAGCACCAAGUUGGGCUAUGCUUUGAGGCAAAUGCUCAAAAUUAUCUCCCUUGAGAUGCAACUUUAUCAAAGAGGAUAAGUAUCCAAUAUCUUCCGGAAUUCUUCCAUCUAUGAAAUUGGAGGAACUGAGCUUCAGGAUUUCCAAUGAGAGUAACCCGCCAUUAAUUGGAGGAAACACAAAGUACACUUCAUCUUCUGUUUCAAUUUUUACAAACUUCAAGGAUUUAAGCUUGUUCAAGCGGACAAUGGAAGAAGGAGGUCGUGAAAUUAGAGUACAUGUAGCAUCAAGUUCCUCCAAAUUUUCUAAAUCACCUAUCUCUUCGGGCAAGCUUUUAAUUGUAAAGCAGUACGACACAUUUAGCUUCACCAAACCUUUCAACUUAACAAUGCUGCUUGGAAGUGCUUCAAGGUUUUCCAUGCCACUCAAAUCUAGGUUUGUGAGAUCAGUUAGGUACUGAAUAGAUGAUGAAAAUUUCCUUAUCCAACCCUUUGCUGAGAGAAUCACUAACUCCGUCUUCAUUAAAUUAUAGCACGAUUGUAGAUCCAUAGAUUCAAGAGAUUUCAUGUUAACACAUGGAAAUCUCCUAAGCUUGUUACACCAAUUCAAAUUUAACUCAAUGAGGUUUUCGCAAUAUGCUAGGGAAUUGUGAACCUCUUCAAGUUCACUACAGUACUCCAGAUUCAAAUACUCCAAAUUUGGCAUCCCCGUGAAAUCUGGUGUUUGAACUAGGCUUUUAGAAAAGCAGAGAUCUAGCUUUCGUAGAGACGGCAAAUGCUGCUAUUCAAAAUAGAGAAAGAAUUAUCUUUGUGUUUAAUUUACCCCUUAGACCAAAAAUGAAUAAAGACAUUUGGAUUAUGAUAGUCUAACAAAAUAUUUUAAGUGAAAUUAGAAAAUGUUUUAUUUUAUUUUUAUAUUGAAAUUACUUGUUCAGAAACUAAAUAAAAGUGUUUAUUAUCUAUAAUCCUUUAGACUUGACAUGUUUUAUUCGAUACACACUUGAUUGUUACACUUAUCUUAAAUAUCCCCUAUAUAUACUUGACUAUUUACUACUUUCUCAAUUUCACAAAGAAUGGUCUAGUUUGACUUGACACGACGUUUAAGAAAAUAAAGAAAACUUUUGAAUCUGUGGUCCUACAUUAAAGUUAUGUCAAAUGUACAAAAUUGUCCUUUAAUCUUGUGGCCUUAAACAUGUCACGUGAAAAAAAAUGUUACCAAAAAUAGAAAAAGGUCAUUCUUUUUUAAACUGACUAAAAAAAAAAGGAGGUCAUUCUUUGUGAAACGGAGGGAGUAUCAUUUAUCUCUUGAACAUUGAUGUGGAAAAGAGUGAAUACACUCUUCUAGGUGCUUGAGUGAAAAGAAAAAUAGAGGGCAUAAUUUUAACCCCAAUUUAUGUUUUUUUUUUAAUUCUUUAGCUGUAAUGACUAUUUAUUUUAAUUAUCUAUUUUUCUCUUUUGGUGAGAGUGUUUAGUUGUCGGUGUAGAUCAAAUAUUAAAAAUAUGGCAUCUAGACAACUAUUAAACGGGGAAUGAAUUUACCCAAUGGAUUUUAUGUUUUAAGAGAAUAAGAGCCAUGUGGAUGUUACUUGAGUUUAACACUGUUACUUUUAAACGGAUUUUAUUAAGGAGAUUAAAAGUACUCCACUUUAGCAAAAUGAAGGGAUUAAAAAUAUUCAUAUUAUAUAUAUUUGAAGACCAAAAUGAACCUAUUCCUAUAGAUAUGGUAUAGUUUUAGCCCAAAUCCAAUAUAUGAAACCUUAAUCAUCAUUCAAGAAGAUAGUAGUAUAGAAUGAACUCCUUCGAUAAGUAUUCAUUUUGUCCCACUACAUAAAACCUAGGAUGAGAUUCAUAUUUUUGUAGGUAAAUAUUUGAAUGAUCAAAUUUUAAAUUGAGCUUCUUAGUUAAAAUAAUGAGGCAAGAUUUGAAAAAAAAGACAUAACGAUAUUAUAAUUUUAAUAGAAAAGGGACUAAAUUGCCCUUGAACUAUCAGAAAUAGCUCCAUUUUAUCCUUCAUUUGCUUUUGGUAUACCAAAAAUACCCUUGUUAUCUAUUUUUUGGACCAAAAAAUGCCUCCAAGCUAAUGUUGUCCACAUGAGCAUGUUAGGGCCAUUUAAAUAAUAGAAAAAGCUGACAUGACAAUUCAAUCUGACAAAAUAGGGUUAAAUUGCCUUUGAAGAAAUUGCUUAUUUAAUUUUUACAUUUAUAUGACGUUGGGUUUCGUCGUAUCAAUGAGUGAUUCUUACCUAAUCUAUUUUUUUAAAGUCGAACUUAACUUGAUUGUUUAAAAGUGUAUGUUACAUUAAAUCCAUCAGAAAAUAGAUGGCAGGGUGUUUUGGUUGUCAGAAGCAAAUGAAGGAUUAAUUGAGCUAUACUUGUUAGUUUAAGGACAAUUUUAGCCCUUUUUCAUAGUAACAAUAUGAAAACUCAAUAUUGUAUAACAUAUAUUAAUUUGAGUUUAUGGAAUUAAUAACUUAUUUCAUUUAAAUACAAAUACCAUAAUUCUAGGACAAGUAACCAUGUAAAGUAGAAAAAAGGGGCAAAUAUACAUCUUAACUAUGUGAUCUGGAGUGAGUAUACCUUUUGUUAAAAAUAUAAAAUGAUGCAUAUAUAACAUGAACGUUUAACAAAUAAUGCAUAUUUAUUAUUUUCAUUAACAAUUAAAUUUUAAAAAAAUUGAAGUUAGUUUUUUAAUUUCUAAACACUCACAUGGUUUUUUAAAAAAUUACUCACUCAAUUUUUACCCCUCUAGACCUAAUCCAACUAAAGAACCUCAUCGCUCUUUAUUCAGACCUGACUCAAACUCAUCCUAUGUUUGAGUAGAAGAUGGAUUGGGUUUUUAUUCAUUUGGGUUGGGUCUAGAGGGGAAAAAAAAUGAGUGGGGUAAUUUUUUAAAGCCACAUGAUAUUUUUGAAUUUUAAAAAUCAAUUUUAUAAUUAUUUUUUUAAUUCAAUAAAUACAGACCCGUUAACGGAAAUGGUACAUAUGCACCAUUUGUUAGACGACAUAGUAUAUAUAUCAUUUUUUUAAACAAAAGAUAUAUCAGUUUCAAAUCGCAAAGUUGAGGAUAUUUACCCUUUUCCUUAGAAAGUAGCUUAAAUAAAAUGGUACCUCUGUUUCCUUCCAUAAAUAAUGCAGCGAACUCCCACGAAGUUGAAGAUGAACAAGCUUUUCUGGUUUAAAAUUUUCUGGCAAUGAUUUCCAAGAAAAGGCAUUCCAGACUAACCAACGCAAGUUAUUGGACAG